rnacentral:rRNA from 1 species
CGCCUCUUGAAUAAAAAUAAGAGGUCCAGCCUGCCCAGUGACCAAUGUUCAACGGCCGCGGUAUCCUAACCGUGCGAAGGUAGCGUAAUCACUUGUUCUUUAAAUGGGGACUAGUAUGAACGGCACCACGAGGGUUAUACUGUCUCCUUUCUCUAAUCAGUGAAACUAAUCUCCCCGUGAAGAAGCGGGGAUACAACUAUAAGACGAGAAGACCCUAUGGAGCUUUAAAUUUCUUUUCAGACGCUAAACCUACUAAACAAGUCCUAGACACCUUAACACAAAUUAAGGCGUUAUGAAAAUGAUUUUUAGGUUGGGGUGACCGCGGAGUAUAAAAAAACCUCCACGUUGAAUCAGGUAUCUAAACCUUGAAUCAAGGGCUACAACCCAGCAUACUAAAAAAUUAACAUCAAUUGACCCAAUUAUUAUUUGACCAACGAACCAAGUUACCCUAGGGAUAACAGCGCAAUCCAUUUCAAGAGUCCAUAUCGACAAAUGGGUUUACGACCUCGAUGUUGGAUCAGGGUAUCCCAGUGGUGCAGCCGCUACUAACGGUUCGUUUGUUCAACGAUUAAAACCCUA